AACGAACGCUGGCGGCAUGCCUAACACAUGCAAGUCGAACGAGACCUUCGGGUCUAGUGGCGCACGGGUGCGUAACGCGUGGGAAUCUGCCCUUGGGUUCGGAAUAACAGUUAGAAAUGACUGCUAAUACCGGAUGAUGUCUUCGGACCAAAGAUUUAUCGCCCAAGGAUGAGCCCGCGUAGGAUUAGCUAGUUGGUAGAGUAAGGCCUACCAAGGCGACGAUCCUUAGCUGGUCUGAGAGGAUGAUCAGCCACACUGGGACUGAGACACGGCCCAGACUCCUACGGGAGGCAGCAGUGGGGAAUAUUGGACAAUGGGCGAAAGCCUGAUCCAGCAAUGCCGCGUGAGUGAUGAAGGCCCUAGGGUUGUAAAGCUCUUUUACCCGGGAUGAUAAUGACUGUAGCCGGAGAAGAAGCCCCGGCUAACUUCGUGCCAGCCGCCGCGGUAAAAC
rnacentral:rRNA from 1 species